AACGGCCGCGGUAUCCUGACCGUGCAAAGGUAGCAUAAUCACUUGCCUAUUAAUUGUAGGCUAGAAUGAAAGGACAAACGAGAAUACACCUGUCUCCUUUAAGCCCUUAAAAAUUUAUCUUUAAGUGAAGAAGCUUAAAUUCAUAUGCAGGACAAGAAGACCCUAUAGAGCUUUACCUAAAAUCUACAUAAAUAGUAGCUAGCGGUUCGGUUGGGGCGACCGGGGGACAUUCAUCACCCCCAAACUAAAAGAUAUACCUAUCCCACCAAAGAUCCUUACUCAAGAUCAAAGAAUCAAGCUACCUUAGGGAUAACAGGCUAAUCCUCUUAGAGAGCCCUUAUCGACAAGAGGGGUUGGCACCUCGAUGUUGGCUUA
rnacentral:rRNA from 1 species